GACGAACGCUGGCGGCGUGCUUAACACAUGCAAGUCAAGGGGGCCCAGCAAUGGGCAACCGGCGAACGGGUGCGUAACACGUGAGCAACCUACCGAACUGUGGGGGAUAGCCGGCCUAACGGCCGAGUAAUACCGCAUACGCUUUCAGUGAGGCAUUUCAUUGAAAGGAAACCUACGGGACAGAUCGAGGGGCUCGCGGCCUACCAGCUAGUUGGCGAGGUAACGGCUCACCAAGGCAACGACGGGUAGCUGGUCUGAGAGGAUGGCCAGCCACAUUGGGACUGAGAUACGGCCCAGACUCCUACGGGAGGCAGCAGUGGGGAAUCUUGCGCAAUGGCCUAACGGCUGACGCAGCGACGCCGCGUGUGGGAUGAAGCUCUUCGGAGUGUAAACCACUGUUGCCCGGGACGAAUAGCUCGAUUAAUCGAGCCUGACGGUACCGGGUGAGGAAGCACCGGCUAACUCCGUGACAGCAGCCGC
rnacentral:rRNA from 1 species